rnacentral:rRNA from 1 species
UACGUAGGGGGCGAGCGUUGUCCGGAUUUAUUGGGCGUAAAGAGCGUGUAGGCGGCUUGGUAGGUCUGCUGUGAAAACUCGGGGCUCAACCCCGAGACGUCGGUGGAAACCACCUGGCUAGAGUCCGGAAGAGGAGAGUGGAAUUCCUGGUGUAGCGGUGAAAUGCGCAGAUAUCAGGAAGAACACCCGUGGCGAAGGCGGCUCUCUGGGACGGUACUGACGCUGAGACGCGAAAGCGUGGGGAGCGAACAGG